GCAGUGUCGGUAAGUUACAGCUGUCGCAUCUGGUCCGGUUGAUUCGGCCCAGAAUCUGAAAGUGAUGUGUCGCUAUAUAAAU